GAUGAACGUUGGCGGCGUGCCUAAUACAUGCAAGUCGAACGAAGACUGUAGUAAUACUGUCUUAGUGGCGAACGGGUGAGUAACGCGUGGGUGACCUGCCCCGAAGUGUGGGAUAACAGUUCGAAAGGAUUGCUAAUACUGCAUAAUAUCCAAGAGAUUAGACGCUUUUGGAUUAAAGGAGUAAUUCGCUUCGGGAGGGGCCCGCGUCCCAUCAGCUAGUUGGUAAGGUAAUGGCUUACCAAGGCGAUGACGGGUAGGGGACCUGAGAGGGUGGCCCCCCCACAAUGGAACUGAAACACGGUCCAUACACCUACGGGUGGCAGCAGUAGGGAAUAUUAGUAAUGGGCGAAAGCCUGAACUAGCAACGCCGCGUGUGCGAAGAAGGCCUUCGGGUUGUAAAGCACUUUUUGAGAGGAUGAGGAAGGACGGUACUCUCAGAAUAAGUCUACGGCUAACUACGUG
rnacentral:rRNA from 1 species